GACGUGUACUCGGCGCUGUUGUGGCGCAUUCGUUCAGUAGACAUCAAGUUGAAAGCAUCCAGUGCAUUUCCGCCUCCUGACUUUGCUUUGGUUUUCAAGUCUGUUUCAACCUGAAAUAUUAGCCAGAAUGAAGGUUUACAUGUGCCUGCUUCUCCUGAUGGUCGUUGGAUGUGCCUUCGGUUUGGCAGAAACGGACGACUUUCUUGCUGAGAAGUCCAUGCGAGAACUGGAAUCUCGCGAGAUAGUGAAGAGGCAGCACUGGAAAAUGUGCACAUAUGAUUACCAAUGUACUUAUAACUGGUGUUAUAAGGGCCAUUGUUGGUGGGGGCCGAGGGAUGGAAACGACAAGUAAAACUGACAAUCCACACGAAUGGACGGAUGAAACCAUGAUCGACAAAGGUUAACCGACAGCAAGGCUUUAUUUUGAUUCAAUAAAAAGAUUUGACAUUAAUUCAUUUUUCUUCUUUCUUGGUAAGAUUGUCUCACUUUUGUUAACAAUAGUGGGUCCGUGUUCCAGCCAGUAUUUCCAUUGAUUCCGUGACAGUGCUGUUCACGUCUGAAGUCUGCUCACUGUGAAUUUAAAGAGUGAUAUUGAAAUCAAAAGAACGCAUACAAGUCCAAAUUCUUCUCGUCAUUUAAAUGACACUAAUUAUGAGCUCGAGCACGGACUUCAUUAUUAUCUCCACUGUGUUGUGUUAAACAAAUCUGUGUUUUAAAUCUAACUUUGUUCCUGUCUGUAAUGUUUAUGUUCUUGGGUUUUUGGGGGUAUCGGUGGUGCGUGGUUAUCAUUAUCCAUAAUGAUGGGUAAAAUCCACUUUUAAAAUAUCCAUUAAUAUUAAUCCUGAUCCUUCAUGUAUCGUUUAAGCAGCGCUGGGAUAUGGAAACGUUUGCAUCCGAGGAUUUUUUUUAGGAAAGGGCGGAACACAACCCCUAGAGAAACAUAAGAAGGUUAAUUUCUAAAUUGGCACACUUCUUUAUCGUGAUUUCAAAUCAAACAUACAUUGAGAGUUAGCCACUAACAUUGAGGUUAGAUUAGAAUGCUUGUUCAGAAAAGCUGCGAUGUACUGCAUUUUGGUUGCGAUCGUUAAAUUUGUAUUCCAGUACGUACAGUAACGGCAACGUAGCAAUACCAUCAUAAAAUAGCCAUAUGUUACGCCCCAACUAUAUCACAUCCUCCCAACUAUAGUUGGGACCAUUACUAUAUAGUUUGGGCGUACAAAUAUGUUUAAAUGUGAUUGAUCUUGUCGCAGAGGAUGUAAUCUGAGAGAAUACUAUUCCUUUGAAAAUGAUAAUUGUUAUAUCAAUGUAAACAGGAAAUGUCGUUGUGUAAAAUACUCGGCCAUAUUGCACAUCUUUCUUGCAAAACUCGGAUAGGCUGUUAGAUGGGUUGAUGGAAUUUAUUCCUACAACAGGUGUUUGUUAACUGUGAAAGGAGAUCCAGUUCUUUAAAUAGGACAUUACAAUUAUUCCUUACUAAUUGAAUGUGGGCUAUUUCUCAUCAUUUUUUUCGUCUUUUGAUGAUUCCUCUUUCGGAAACGUACUGAGAAUGUUGUAGCUUCGUGGCAAAAUAAAUUGACUCCUGCGUGAAAAAAAUA